rnacentral:rRNA from 1 species
UAAACGACUCUCGGCAACGGAUAUCUCAGCUCUCGCAUCGAUGAAGAACGUAGCGAAAUGCGAUACUUGGUGUGAAUUGCAGAAUCCCGCGAACCAUCGAGUCUUUGAACGCAAGUUGCGCCCGAAGCCAUUAGGUUGAGGGCACGUCUGCCUGGGCGUCUCAC